rnacentral:rRNA from 1 species
GAUGAACGCUAGCGGCAGGCCUAACACAUGCAAGUCGAGGGAGAAGCCCUUCGGGGCGGAAACCGGCGCACGGGUGCGUAACGCGUAUGCAACCUACCUUUCACAGGGGGAUAGCCCGAAGAAAUUUGGAUUAAUACCCCAUAAUAUUAUUGGAUGGCAUCAUUUGAUAAUUAAAAUUACGAUGGUGAAAGAUGGGCAUGCGUCCUAUUAGCUAGUUGGAGUGGUAACGGCACCCCAAGGCUACGAUAGGUAGGGGUCCUGAGAGGGAGAUCCCCCACACUGGUACUGAGACAGGGACCAGACUCCUACGGGAGGCAGCAGUGAGGAAUAUUGGUCAAUGGUCGGAAGACUGAACCAGCCAUGCCGCGUGCAGGAAGAAUGCCUUAUGGGUUGUAAACUGCUUUUAUAUGGGAAGAAUAAGGAGUACGCGUACUUUGAUGACGUACCAUAUGAAUAAGC